rnacentral:rRNA from 1 species
GACGAACGCUGGCGGCGUGCUUAACACAUGCAAGUCGAACGAAGUGGCGAACGGGUGAGUAACGCGUAAUCAACCUGCCCUUCAGAGGGGGACAACAGUUGGAAACGACUGCUAAUACCGCAUACUGAAGGAGGUGAUUGCGUCUGAUUAGCUAGUUGGAGGGGUAAUGGCCUACCUAGGCGACGAUACAUAGCCGACCUGAGAGGGUGAUCGGCCACACUGGGACUGAGACACGGCCCAGACUCCUACGGGAGGCAGCAGUAGGGAAUCUUCGGCAAUGGACGAAAGUCUGACGGAGCAACGCCGCGUGAGUGAUGACGGCCUUCGGGUUGUAAAGCUCUGUUAAUCGGGACGCGGUACCGGAAUAGAAAGCCACGGCUAACUACGUGCCAGCAGCCGCGGUAAUAC